rnacentral:rRNA from 1 species
CGGAGGGUGCAAGCGUUAUCCGGAUUCACUGGGUUUAAAGGGUGCGUAGGUGGCUUUGUAAGUCAGUGGUGAAAUCUUAGGGCUUAACUCUAAAACUGCCAUUGAUACUGCUUAGCUUGAAUCAAGUCGAGGUGGAUGGAAUAUUACAUGUAGCGGUGAAAUGCUUAGAUAUGUAAUAGAACACCGAUUGCGAAGGCAGUUCACUAGGCUUGAAUUGACACUGAGGCACGAAAGCGUGGGGAUCAAACAGGAUUAGAUACCCUGGUAGUCCACGCCCUAAACGAUGUAAACUCGACAUUAGCGAUAUACAGUUAGUGUCCAAGCGAAAGCGUUAAGUUUACCACCUGGGGAGUACGGCCGCAAGGUUA